AUCCUAGAUUUUCCGUGAUUUCCUACUGGCAUUCCCGAAGGCGGGACACUUUGAGGAGACUUUUAUUUUGGCGCAAGGACCAUUGGUAAUAAAAUAUGCCUUGAGAUCAAAUGUUCCCGUUCCAGACACGGAAGAUGAAUGCCUUAAACUAUUGGUUCUAGUAAUGCGACUGAUUCCAUCUUUAAAGAAGAUUCGCGUUGUUAGCCAGGAUUCAAUCAUUGAACGAGUGGUUUAUUUCAUCAAGGCUAAUGAAGACAUUUUAUCAAUUAUCGAGAAAAAGCCCCAUCUCAAGGAGUCACCUUUUAUGUGUUGUGUAGGUUCGCUGAGAAACCCAAUCUGUUUUAGCAUUGUCUGUGAAGGGGAAUUAAUAUCAAGCGGUACCAGCUCAAUUAAGGCGUUCAAGAACCUCUUCGCGUCGUUUCAUAUGUUUCGUAUUAAAUACCCUACACUCCUAAGCACAUUUUAUUAUUUUUUUUAUUCUUACGUUUUCAAUGUCCACCCUGGUAGAAUUUGUCCUUCAGUCGCAGAUUUUUUUACACAGUUAAAUGCAUAGAA